rnacentral:rRNA from 1 species
UGGGGAAUAUUGGACAAUGGGCGAAAGCCUGAUCCAGCCAUGCCGCGUGUGUGAAGAAGGUCUUCGGAUUGUAAAGCACUUUAAGUUGGGAGGAAGGGCAUUAACCUAAUACGUUAGUGUUUUGACGUUACCGACAGAAUAAGCACCGGCUAACUCUGUGCCAGCAGCCGCGGUAAUACAGAGGGUGAAAGCGUUAAUCGGAAUUACUGGGCGUAAAGCGCGCGUAGGUGGUUUGUUAAGUUGGAUUGGAAAUCCCCGGGCUCAACCUGGGAACUGCAUUCAAAACUGACUGACUAGAGUAUGGUAGAGGGUGGUGGAAUUUCCUGUGUAGCGGUGAAAUGCGUAGAUAUAGGAAGGAACACCAGUGGCGAAGGCGACCACCUGGACUAAUACUGACACUGAGGUGCGAAAGCGUGGGGAGCAAACA